GGGCCAUAUUUCAUAGAGUCCCUGCUAUGGAUCAGCAGUCUCUGCAUCCCUUUUCUCGGAGAAUUCCAUAUGAAAGUGUCUGUAAGACAUUUUGAGUGGCAUUGCUUCUGUCAAACGGCUGAUUGAAGGAGACACAGAGAGAAAUGCUGUGCUAAUGAAAUCGUCUGACCCACAUCUUUUAGUGCUAUCCAUUUCUCCAAAGACACAGAAAGGGCAUUUAUACAGGUAAACCAUGACUGGUCCCUGAAGUGAAAGAAGGGGGUUUUUCAGAAGGAAGAGGAGCAUCCAUUAUUUACUAUACUGGGGUUGCUAGACACUUAGGAGAUAAUGCAGUGCUUCAAGCAUACAAAACAUAGAGACUCCUUGGUGCUGGGGAGGCCAUUGUUGUGUGUUUUGAACAUGUCUGUUUCCAUCCAUACUGACAGAUGAAAAGGAAUAUGUCUCCCUCAGGUUCAGAAGCAUGGACAUAGAUGGAUAGAGAAGGAAGGAGAAGGAGAGGAUUGGAUGUGUUUGUCUGUCAGUCAUAUUUCUGUGCAUGUAGGGUAUCCAUAUAUGUUCGUUUAUGUGUUGCUCCAAGUCUGUUUUUUGGCCUUUGCAUGUACAGCAGAAGGCUUCAAGACCUUCUCCAGUCCUAAAUUAUAUAAUGUAAAUGAAGUAUUCUUACAGAUACAGUGAGAGCAUGUGUUUGUUACUGUAUGCAUUAAUGCAUGUGAAUGCAUCAAGUUCCUGCACCGAGUCUGUUUAAGCAGUCUCCCCCAGCUCAGACAGGCUUCAGUCAAGCCUUAUUCUCUGCAGAUCAGCAGCAGCAUCAGUUGCCUCCUCAUGGCGAGAGGAGGCAUCUGACUGUGGUCUACUGGGAGUAGUUAGCAGAAGGAGAGCAAGGCAUACAACUCCUCUACCAUGUUAUCAGACUUGGGGCAACACCAAGCUCUACUUUUUGCCUUUGUCAAAUUUCCCAAGGGAGACUUUGACAUGAAAUACUUUUAUGUGGAUGACGGGAGACCACUCCCAAAUAUUUCAGUAUUUUUCUGCAUAAAUGCGCAUUGUGAUGGAGAGCAUGACAACUAUCCAUGUUUGCAGAUCUGCUCUGGGAAAAUCUGGGUCAGCUGGCAUUUAGGAAUCUCAAGAAUUAGAGUAGCAAAGACUGUACAUGUUAGUUUAUUUUACACUUAAAUUCUGAAUAUGAGUCUGAGGAUAUGUUGAAAUUUAUCUGAUUUAUCUUUAAAAAAAAAACAGCCUUAGUCUGUCUUAUAUACUUUGAUUCUCAUUGUGCAUCAUAAUAUCUUCACCAGCUUAAGAUAGGCACAGGCUUUGUAGACAUCUAAAAAUGCAAAAAAGAUUAUAGACAACCUUUUUUUCCUUUUGUUUCUGAUACACUGUCGGUUUAAUGUAGGUGCUGUCAAAAGCUUUCCUAAUACCAGUGUACAUUUAUACGGGUAACAUUACAUAUAGUAGAUUUCUUAAACUAAAAGGUUGAAAGCAAAAACCAUAAAAGAUAUGCCCAAUUUGUGAGAGGUUACUUUAAAAAACACUGGAUUAAAAUCUCUGUUAUUCUGAUAGAUACUGCGCUUCAGUCAGGUGUCAUUAAUAUUUGACAUUUGAGGGCAUAAAUUGCAAUUACUACAGUGAGCAGGUGUUCAGUAAUUGACUUUUGAUGGAGCUAGAGCUAAAAACAUGGGUACUCUUUAUCCAAAUCAAAUGAAUGAAAAUAGUCCCACGUCUCUUUUUUUCUCUCUUAUAUUGUAUUUACUGUCGUUUUUUCUCAUGUAUUGUAUAGCAAGCCUUUUUUAAACAUAACACAAUUCAGUCCUGGAUUUAGGUUGCUGCGUUGCAUUAGAGGUAGUGGUGUUUUGAUAUGAUCGUCACAGGCUGAUGCUUGUACUUACAGGCCUGAUCAAAAAGAUAAAUGAUGAUUAUAACAAUUACAGAUUGCUGGACAGAAAGUCAGAAGGCCCUUAUAGCAACAAUAAUAAUAAUAAUAGUAAUAAAAAAUAAAAUGCUUAGCAAUUUUGAUUCUCAUUUGUCAUUAUAAUUAUCAUAUUUAUAUUGUUAUAGUUUAUCAAACCUACUUUGUCCUGAGCCGUUAUUGGUCGACCACAACUCUGCAUGUUCGUAAAUUGCUUUAAUAUCAGUGAGAGAAUAACAGCUACACUCUUUAUGUGCUUUAAUCGGGGUCAUAAGAAUUACUGCAACUAUUCUAACUAUAAAGAGCAGAUCUUUGUGGUCACAAACCUUAUUUAAUGCAACAAAAUUAUCACUCACUGAGGGCCUUGAACAAAGCCUUGAGCUCACGCACGGAGAAACACACGCUCUCACACACAUUGCGGACGACCCCAUAUACUGGUUAUCAAUCUGCGGUGUCAGCAGAGAGGAUGAGGAGGAUGCAGAGAGGGGCACAUGUAGCUUUGACUAAGAUCAGCUACCACGGAUAGACAAGCAGGCCUGGCAGUGCAGUGUGUGCCCUUGAGGUGCUGCAAGCAGGCAGAGGUUUGUGCUUGAGUUGUCUGAAUCCACCUCCCUUCAUCUUUUCAAGUUUGGCUGUUGAUGGCCCUGGGACCUCCUGCCAACCCUGAACUGCUCUUUUCUGUCAACCAAACAUCAGAGAAAUUUGUGGAAAGAGGCAGCCUGGCCAAAACACUACUUUUGUACACUCUGAAUUCCUGGAAAAAGAAAAAAAAAGAAACAGAAUUUGCCGGCUUAAAAUGACUUGCAAGUGACACUUCAAUAUCAAGAGAUUUGAAGUGUCUGGAAAUAUAAAUCAGUCAUUAUAUUUGGAGUAAAGCUUUGGGAAACACUACAUUAAAGUCAUGGGCAGAUUAGGGAUCAGUGACAGAAGAAAAGGCUGGGCAAAAAAACAGAAAUUUACCGAUACCAAAAUUUGCGUCAAUGACCCACAUCAUUUUGCCCUUAUUGGUAUAUUUGGUGUCAAAAUAAAAGUUGGUUUUGGAUGUGUGUAGGUAGGCUAUGGUCUCAUGUCCCUUUAAGACACUGGCCUAUGUUGGAGACAUGACUCUAAGUAGACAAAGUCAAUGUGGGAGGAGGUGAGCAGCUUGUGGAGUAGUUAUUGUCCAUUUAUCGUUAUGGAGGUGAACUGCUCAAUAUAUCGUGAUACUGAUUUGAGGCCAUAUCGCCCAGCCCUAACAAAAGAUUUCGCCAAUGUGAAGGAGAUGUUUCAGAGAUGUUCCAACAACAAAUUAAAAUUUGGUCAGAAAACUGUAAAUUAUCAGUCAAAAUUCAGGAUAAAACCAAAAUUGUAGAUCCCCCAGCAAUUGGCUGCAACCAUGUGACUAGUUUGUCGUGACUCUCACCAGAAACUACAAUUUAACCGCUGUAAAAAAUCUACAGAUUUUUGUUCACUUUUCUGCAGUCAGCAGCACUAAAUAACACUGUAUGACUAACAGAUAAUGUUACAUCAAGCAGUUUCACAAUAAUAAAAGCACCUUUUUCCACUGCUGUCUGUUUGCUUGUCCAAGCAUUAGUGUAAACUUUGUAGGCACUCAGGUUAGCAUUACUUUGACUGUCCUUGUUCUUGAGGUAUUCUACUGGAGUUGAAUUAAACAGAGAGGUCUGACCUGGUAAUGAAAAUAGGUCAAUACCAAAUAAAGCAGCUUGAAAAAUGUAAGGCACCAUCAAAGUUCCUGAGCAAACACAAGAGAAAGAGAGAGAGAUCUCAAAAAAUGUCCUACAUGUGGGACUUUUAAAUCCUAGAUUAUUUCUGCAAAAUAAAAAGAGGUCUUCAGUCAUUUGCUUACUGAACCAGCCAAAACAAACAGAUAGCACACUG